AUUGAACGCUGGCGGCAUGCCUUACACAUGCAAGUCGAACGGCAGCACGGGGGCAACCCUGGUGGCGAGUGGCGAACGGGUGAGUAACACAUCGGAACGUGUCCUGUUGUGGGGGAUAACUAGUCGAAAGAUUAGCUAAUACCGCAUGACCUCGGGAGAGAAAAGCAGGGGAUCGCAAGACCUUGCGCGAUUGGAGCGGCCGAUGUCCGAUUAGCUAGUUGGCGGGGUAAAGGCCCACCAAGGCGACGAUCGGUAGCUGGUCUGAGAGGAUGAUCAGCCACACUGGGACUGAGACACGGCCCAGACUCCUACGGGAGGCAGCAGUGGGGAAUUUUGGACAAUGGGGGCAACCCUGAUCCAGCCAUGCCGCGUGAGUGAAGAAGGCCUUCGGGUUGUAAAGCUCUUUCGGUGGGAACGAAACGGUGGAUGCUAAUACCGUCCACUACUGACGGUACUCACAGAAGAAGCACCGGCUAACUACGUGCCAGCAGCCGCCGUAAGAC
rnacentral:rRNA from 1 species